rnacentral:lncRNA from 1 species
GUUGCCCCUGCCACAGUCUGGGCAGUGGAUGGUCUUGGAGCUCCCAGUGAUGUGGUGAUGAGUCCAUGGCACCCCAGUCUUCCUUUUCUUGGCCUUCCAGACCCAAGCAGGCUACUUCACUCACUCCAGCUGUCAGGCUGGCUGCAGGAAGAGUCUGAGUUUGUGAGAUGUCCUUCAGAAACUGUCUUCUAUUUAAAGAACAACAACAAAAAAAGGGACAGUCCAUGUUUUAUAAAAACUUGUUUCAACUGUAAAAGUCAUCCUCUUCAUGGCAUGAAGCCUGAGAAACCAAGAAGAAAAAGACGCCCUGGAGCAGGGGCUAUGUCUCAGUUGCCUGCAUCUACAGCGCCUAACAAGUGUCAGCCCUUCGAGGAGCUCUAUAGAUGUUCACGAGGAGUGCAUUUUUUGGAGACCCACAAGAAUUCAUUGCACAAGAAUCUCCACUGCUGUGCUGCUCCCAGAGAUCAGGGCAUUGCCCACUGGUCAGAAACACUGGGCGCUCUGCAGAAUACUCCAGUGGGUGCAGUGAGGUCAUUGAAAAUUGUCUGUGGAACACCGAUGUACAGCAUCACUCACUGAAAACUGUCAAACACUGAUGUCCAGCAUUACAACACUCAGAAGGCAGAAAUAACAGCUACCAUGCACCAGUAGAAGGAUGGAUGAACAAAAUGGG